rnacentral:rRNA from 1 species
AUUGAACGCCGGCGGCACGCCUAACACAUGCAAGUCGAGCGGUAGCAUGGAUAGUAGCAAUACUAUCUGAUGACGAGCGGCGGACGGGUGAGGAAAACGUGGGAAUCUACCCUCAAGCGGGGGACAACCAAGGGAAACUUUGGCUAAUACCGCAUAAUCUCGAGAGAGCAAAGCUGCCGUAAGGUGGCACUUGAGGAGGAGCCUGCGUCCGAUUAGCUAGUUGGUGAGGUAAGAGCUCACCAAGGCGAUGAUCGGUAACUGGUCUGAGAGGACGACCAGUCACACUGGGACUGAGACACGGCCCAGACUCCUACGGGAGGCAGCAGUGGGGAAUAUUGGACAAUGGGGGCAACCCUGAUCCAGCGAUGCCGCGUGUGUGAAGAAGGCCUUCGGGUCGUAAAGCUCUUUCAGCGAGGAGGAAGGGUGGUGUGUUAAUAGCACAUCAUUUUGACGUUACUCGCAGAAGAAGCACCGGCUAACUCUGUGCCAGCCGCCGCGGUAAAAC